rnacentral:rRNA from 1 species
CUGGCUCAGAUUGAACGCUGGCGGCAGGCCUAACACAUGCAAGUCGAGCGGCAGCACGGGUACUUGUACCUGGUGGCGAGCGGCGGACGGGUGAGUAAUGCCUAGGAAUCUGCCUGGUAGUGGGGGAUAACGCUCGGAAACGGACGCUAAUACCGCAUACGUCCUACGGGAGAAAGCAGGGGACCUUCGGGCCUUGCGCUAUCAGAUGAGCCUAGGUCGGAUUAGCUAGUUGGUGAGGUAAUGGCUCACCAAGGCGACGAUCCGUAACUGGUCUGAGAGGAUGAUCAGUCACACUGGAACUGAGACACGGUCCAGACUCCUACGGGAGGCAGCAGUGGGGAAUAUUGGACAAUGGGCGAAAGCCUGAUCCAGCCAUGCCGCGUGUGUGAAGAAGGUCUUCGGAUUGUAAAGCACUUUAAGUUGGGAGGAAGGGCAGUUACCUAAUACGUGAUUGUUUUGACGUUACCGACAGAAUAAGCACCGGCUAACUCUGUGCCAGCAGCCGCGGUAAUACAGAGGGUGCAAGCGUUAAUCGGAAUUACUGGGCGUAAAGCGCGCGUAGGUGGUUUGUUAAGUUGGAUGUGAAAUCCCCGGGCUCAACCUGGGAACUGCAUCCAAAACUGGCAAGCUAGAGUAUGGUAGAGGGUGGUGGAAUUUCCUGUGUAGCGGUGAAAUGCGUAGAUAUAGGAAGGAACACCAGUGGCGAAGGCGACCACC